rnacentral:rRNA from 1 species
AACGAACGCUGGCGGCAUGCCUAACACAUGCAAGUCGAACGAGACCUUCGGGUCUAGUGGCGCACGGGUGCGUAACGCGUGGGAACCUGCCCUUAGGUUCGGAAUAACUCCCCGACAGGGGUGCUAAUACCGGAUAAUGUCUUCGGACCAAAGAUUUAUCGCCUUUGGAUGGGCCCGCGUUGGAUUAGCUAGUUGGUAGGGUAAAAGCCUACCAAGGCGACGAUCCAUAGCUGGUUUGAGAGGAUGAUCAGCCACACUGGGACUGAGACACGGCCCAGACUCCUACGGGAGGCAGCAGUGGGGAAUAUUGGACAAUGGGCGAAAGCCUGAUCCAGCAAUGCCGCGUGAGUGAUGAAGGCCUUAGGGUUGUAAAGCUCUUUUACCCGGGAUGAUAAUGACAGUACCGGGAGAAUAAGCUCCGGCUAACUCCGUG